rnacentral:rRNA from 1 species
AACGAACGCUGGCGGCGUGCUUAACACAUGCAAGUCGAACGGAAGGGCACUGCUUUCGUGGUGUGCUCGAGUGGCGAACGGGUGAGUAACACGUGAGUAACCUGACCUUGACUUUGGGAUAACUUAAGGAAACUGGGGCUAAUACCGGAUCGGAGCUCCUCCUGCAUGGUGAGGGUUGGAACGUUUCAGCGGUUGUGGAUGGAUGGGCGGAUUAUCAGGUUGUUGGUGGGGUAGUGGCAUACCAAGUAUUUGACUGGUAGCCCGCCGUUGAGGGUGGCCGGCGACAAUAGUACUAAGAGACGGCCCAGAGGGGUACGGUAGACAGCAGUGGGAAAUAUGGUACAGUGGGCUGGAGCCGGAUGCAGCAGCGCCGCGGGCGGGAUGACGUCCUGCUGGGUGUGAACCGCAUCCGCCUGUGACGAAGCGGUAGUGACGGUAAUGGGUAAAUAAGCACCGGCUAACUUCGUG